rnacentral:lncRNA from 1 species
GUUUAGCUUGUGUAGCUUGCUAGUCAUCUUCUUGCUUGUGUAGCUAGAAGUAGGUCCCCUUGCGUGACUAAUUUGGUUUAUGUAACUUUGUUAGUCAUAUUGCUUAGUUUGCGUAGCUAAGUAAAUUGCACUCUCUAAUUUGGCAUUAGUUGUCUUGUUAUUGAGCAUAGCUAGUGAGCUGAGGAGCUUUGUGCUUUUGCUUACUAAUUGUGUAGGAGCUCCCCCGGGUUGCAAAGUACUGGUGGCAUAGGUUUGUGUGACAUUGCUCCUAGAAUUGGUUAGGUGAGCUCUUGCUAAGGUGGCAUCUUAUUUGCUUGUUUAGAAUCUUUUACAAGGUACUAGAUAACUUAGAUAGAGGGGUGUGGUCUUGGCUAGACCGAUAUUUUUAAUUCUGCAUUUGUUUCGGUUAGGCGACGUGUUAAGUUUUAGAAAGGACUAUUCACCCCUCUCUAGUCCGCCAUCUCAACCCUUCAGGGCCUAGCAAGGGCUGUGCCUCCCCUCCCCCCGUCAAGCACAAUGAUUCAUUUAAAUACCUAUAUAAAUAUUAGUAUUUAUAGCACAAGAAAUAUCAAUUUCAUCUUUUUUUUAAAUACAAUGAUUUUGGUAAGAAAUAGUAUAAAUUUUUUAAAAAGUUCUUUAAAUAUAUAAUUAUAUAUAUUUUGUCACACUAAAAAUACGAUCAUAUUUGUUUGCCCCUCUUAAUCAAAAUUGCUGGUUCCGCAAUUGAUUAUAGCAGAUUUAUUUUGCCCUGUCAUGUAUCCAUUUUCAUGUGUUCAAUUACACAGUUAGGGCAUGCUACAUGACCACCGACUUUGGGCAGGUGUACUAGCAGGGAAGUAAAUUCUCUAUAUCUACUCUGGAGAUGGCCUUAGAAGUGUUUCUCCAAGCAGCAUGUUUAAUUCAUAUAGCCAAAUAUUACCAAUGCCAGAGUCUAGCCAAUACCGAAGGAAAUCAAAUAAUCGGGGGGAGAAUAAAUGUCGGGCUAUUUCUACUAUGUGUUGAAAAUUUUGAUGUCCUUGGUGACCUUCUUGCGUACCUGCUUGUAUUAAGUGUUCGGCCAUGUCAACCUUCUUGUUUCACCUUAACUUCUUUUUUAGGUUGUAUAUGGAGGCGGUGACUUGCAUUCGUGUGUUUUAGAGCCUGUUUAGUUUCUAUGGAAUGCAAAAUAUCAACUAUUUGGAAUAAUGAAAGACAAAGCCAGUUUGCUUGUCUGUUGUAUGUUUUUCUCUCAUAAUAAGGCCUUUGUUUAGUUCUGAAUUUUUUUUUUUUUUGGAUAUUAUAGUAUUUUUAUUUUUAUUUGACAAAUAUUGUCCAAUCAUGGACUAACUCGGCUCAAAAAAAUUAUCUCAUGAUUUACAGGCAAACUGUGCAAUUAGUUUUUGUUUUCGUUUAUAUUUAAUGCUCCAUGCAUGUGCCGCAAGGUUUGAUGUGACGAGGAAUCUUAAAAAGUUUCUGGCUUUUUGGGUGAACUAACAAGGCCUAAAUCAGUGAACAGUAUUUUUAGUCAUUGAUUUUAGACCAGCGAACAAAUGUCAAAAUUUUCAAGGUUAUGUUUAGUUCCAUCCAAAAUACAUAAUUUCUUGUCCUCAUUAUGGCCUCUUGAGGCUCUUUUAGGUUUUUUUCCCCUCUUGAGGCCAAAAUGCAAAAUAAAGAAUGGCAACCAUUUUGCCAAAAAAAUUGCAUGGUGUUUAAUUCCAUUAUGCAAAAUGAUAGACUAAAACCAAAUUUUUUUAGGAUAAAAGAGGAACUAAAUACCCCCCCCUAGUCAUUCAAACUAUGUCUAAGUGUCAUGGAUCCUUUAUUUUGAACAAUGAGAUUCAAGUCUCCGACUUGAUACGGGUGCUCGUAUUUUUCUGGAUUUAUUCUAGAAUUUAAUGACGCUAUACUUUCAGUAGUAGGCGACGUGUCUAUCGAAAGCGAGGCGUGUGUGGUGACUUAGUCAAUUUCGAGAUUUGCCGGUCUAACUCUAUUCUUCGAAGGUACUCAUAGAGGUAGUGUGUGUGCAUGCGUUCAUAGAAGGUGAGUGUGCGCUCGUAUUUAUGAGCAUCUGCGUCCGUAAAAAAAUAUGGGUGAGGGGAUGUAGUAUACAGAGCACCCAACCAUUGAGUUAAUUAUUGUUUACUGCUAAGUUAGGCCUUGUUUAGUUAGUGAAAAUUUUUGGGUUUGAAUAUGGUAGUAUUUUUGUUUGUAUUUGACUAUUAUCGUUCAACCAUGGACUAACUAUGCUCAAAAGAUUCAUUUUGCAAAUUAGAGGCAAACUAUAUAAUUAGUUUUUUUUAUUUAUAUUUAAUGUUUCAUACAUGUGCCAUAAUAUUCGAUGUAAUGAAAAUCUUGAAAAAUUUUAGCAUUUUGGGUGAACUAAACAAGACCUUAUUGAACCAUUUCUUCCCUCGGGAAACAUCUCUACAAUUCCAUCUCCGAAUGCAUGCAUGUAGAUUGCUGCUCCUGCGCGUCGCGGAGACGUCGUCAAUCUGCUGGUGCAUGAUUCAUGCGACCUGUGAGCCGCAGUGACGCCGUACA